GCUAGCAUGGUGUAGUGGUUUGAGUGCUGGACUUCAAUCCCUGAGAUCAGGGUUUGAUUCCCUGCUCAAGCA